rnacentral:rRNA from 1 species
AACGAACGCUGGCGGCAGGCCUAACACAUGCAAGUCGAACGCUCCGCAAGGGGAGUGGCAGACGGGUGAGUAACACGUGGGAAUCUUCCUAUUGGUACGGAAUAGCUCAGGGAAACUUGGGGUAAUACCGUAUAAGCCCGUGAGGGGAAAGAUUUAUCGCCGAUAGAUGAGCCCGCGUCUGAUUAGCUAGUUGGUGAGGUAACGGCUCACCAAGGCGACGAUCAGUAGCUGGUCUGAGAGGAUGACCAGCCACACUGGGACUGAGACACGGCCCAGACUCCUACGGGAGGCAGCAGUGGGGAAUAUUGGACAAUGGGCGCAAGCCUGAUCCAGCCAUGCCGCGUGAGUGACGAAGGUCUUCGGAUUGUAAAGCUCUUUUGCCAGGAACGAUAAUGACGGUACCUGGAGAAUAAGCCCCGGCUAACUACGUGCCAGCCGCCGCGGUAACAC